GACGACCGCCGGCGGCGUGCUCAACAUAUGUAAUUCGAACGGAAAGGCCCUGCUUGCAGGGUACUCGAGUGGAGAACGGGUGAGUAACACGUGGGUUAUCUGCCCCGCACUUCGGGAUAAGCCUGGGAAACUGGGUCGAAUACCGGGUAGGAGCCAUCAUUAGUGUGAUGGUUGGAAAGCUUUGUCGGUGUAGGAUGAGCUCGCGGCCUAUCAGCUUGUUGGUGGGGUAGUGGUCUACCAAGGCGGCGACGGGUAGCCGGCCUGAGAGGGUGGACGGCCACAUUGGGGCUGAGAUACGGCCCAGACUCCUACGGGAGGCAGCAGUCGUGAAUAUUGCACACUGGGCGCAAGCCUGAUGCAACGACGCCGCGUGGGGGAUGACGGCCUUCGGGUUGUAAGCUAGUUUCGCUAGGGACGAAGCUUUUUGUGCCGUUACCUAGAUGCGAAGCAACGGCUAGCCACGUG
rnacentral:rRNA from 1 species